rnacentral:rRNA from 1 species
CCUACGGGUGGCAGCAGUGGGGAAUAUUGCACAAUGGGGGGAACCCUGAUGCAGCGACGCCGCGUGAGUGAAGAAGUAUUUCGGUAUGUAAAGCUCUAUCAGCAGGGAAGAAGAUGACGGUAUCUGACUAAGAAGCCCCGGCUAACUACGUGCCAGCAGCCGCGGUACUACGUAGGGGGCAAGCGUUAUCCGGAUUUACUGGGUGUAAAGGGAGCGUAGACGGCAGGACAAGUCUGGUGUGAAAGCCCGGGGCUCAACCCCGGGACUGCUUUGGAACCUGCCAUGCUAGAGUGCUGGAGAGGUAAGCGGAAUUCCUGGUGUAGCGGUGAAAUGCGUAGAUAGUAGGAGGAACACCAGUGGCGAAGGCGGCUUACUGGACAGUAACUGACGUUGAGGCUCGAAAGCGUGGGGAGCAAACAGGAUUAGAUACCCGAGUAGUC